UGAUGUGAGGGCAAUUUGGUUGUGACAUCUGUCACACCAUUGAUUGCUAGAGUUGAUUUGAAUGAUCUGACUGGCUAAGUGAGUGUCCCCUUUCUACCUCACUGCUCUGUGUGCAUCCCUCCUAAAGCUGUGCACUUGGUUGAAGAGGACAACCUUCCCCUAUAGAGGACUGUUCUUCAGUCAAGGGAUACAAGUAGCUAUACUCUCUUGCUAGAACCUCCAAAUAAGCUCUCAAAAAAGGAAAGUUAAUUAUUACUUAUGCUUUGAAACAUUCCUUUGCAUUUCAUAGGAAAAUACAA
ensembl:misc_RNA 7SK 7SK RNA